AAUCAACGCUGGCGGCGUGCCUCAGACAUGCAAGUCGAACGAUUAAAGCUCUCUUCGGAGAGUGUAUAGAGUGGCGCACGGGUGAGUAACACGUAAGUAAUCUACCUUCGAGUGGGGAAUAACGUCCGGAAACGGACGCUAAUACCGCAUAAUGCAGCGGCAUCGCAAGAUGACAGUUGUUAAAGAUUUAUCGCUUGAAGAGGAGCUUGCGGCGGAUAGCUAGUUGGUAAGGUAAUGGCUUACCAAGGCUACGAUCUGUAACCGGUCUAAGAGGACGGUCGGUCACACUGACACUGAACAACGGGUCAGACUCCUAC
rnacentral:rRNA from 1 species